GCUGGCGGCGUGCCUAACACAUGCAAGUCAAGGGGAAAGUUUUACUUCGGUUUAACGAGUAUACUGGCGGACGGGUGAGUAACGCGUAGGCAACCUGCCCUUUUGAACGGGAUAACCCAGCGAAAGGUGGACUAAUACCGUAUACUGCAUAUUAUUCGCAUGAUUAAUAUGUGAAAGGGUGCUUUUCGGAGCACUCACAAAAGGAUGGGCCUGCGUUCCAUUAGUUAGUUGGUGAGGUAAAGGCUUACCAAGACAGCGAUGGAUAGCUGGUUUGAGAGAGUGAUCAGCCACACUGGGACUGAGAUACGGCCCAGACUCCUACGGGAGGCAGCAGUGAGGAAUAUUGCGCAAUGGAGGAAACUCUGACGCAGCAACGCCGCGUGGGGGAUGAAGCUCUAUGGAGUGUAAACCCCUGUAAGUAGGGAUGAACGAUAAAUAUUCGAAUAGGGUAUUUAUGUGACGG
rnacentral:rRNA from 1 species